rnacentral:tRNA from 3 species
GCAGCCGUGGCCGAGUGGUUAAGGCGAUGGACUCGAAAUCCAUUGGGGUCUCCCCGCACAGGUUCGAAUCCUGUCGGCUGCG